AACGAACGCUGGCGGCAUGCUUAACACAUGCAAGUCGAACGAGACCUCCGGGUUUAGUGGCGCACGGGCGCGUAAUGCGGGGGAACACGCGCUAAGGAUCGGAAUAACUUCUGGAACGGGGUGCUAAUACCGGAUAAUGUCUUCGGACCAAAGAUUUAUCGCCUUUGGGUGGGCCCGCGUUGGAUUAGCUAGUUGGUAGGGUAACAGCCUACCAAGGCGACGAUCCAUAGCUGGUCUGAGAGGAUGAUCAGCCACACUGGGACGGAGACACGGCAGAGACUCCUACGGGAGGCAGCAGUGGGGAAUAUUGGACAAUGGGCGAAAGCCUGAUCCAGCAAUGCCGCGUGAGUGAUGAAGGCCUUAGGGUUGUAAAGCUCUUUUACCCGGGAUGAUAAUGACAGUACCGGGAGAAUAAGCUCCGGCUAACUCCGUG
rnacentral:rRNA from 1 species